rnacentral:rRNA from 1 species
UACGGGGGGGGCAAGCGUUGUUCGGAAUUACUGGGCGUAAAGGGCUUGUAGGUGGCCAACUAAGUCAGACGUGAAAUCCCUCAGCUUAACUGGGGAACUGCGUCUGAUACUGGGUGGCUUGAGAUUGGGAGAGGGACGCGGAAUUCCAGGUGUAGCGGUGAAAUGCGCAGAUAUCAGGAGGAACACCGAUGGCGAAGGCAGGUCUCUGGGCCACUACUGACGCUGAGAAGCGAAAGCAUGGGGAGCGAACAGG